rnacentral:misc_RNA from 1 species
UGGGGUCCAUGGCGAAAGAGAGAAUUUGCACAAUUAUCGUCACAGUGGCGUUAGAAUGACAGUCACUGCCAAGUGCCACCAAUCGGAACAUGUAAAAAGAGGGAGGAAAGUAUCAUAAAACCCCACCUACGCACGCCUUGUAUCUUCGCUACACGCAACCGCAACCUACGGCCGCCCUGACCUCGAAGAUCGGGAGCUGCUCCUUCGCCCCCUCUCCGCACGUAAUUCUCUGCCUUGCUCGACCCAAAAAGAGAAAUAAAAAGGGAAAAACUUUGUAUAAAAAGAGAACAAACUCCGAUCCUCACUGCAUUUUCCCUUUAUUUAUUAUCUCUCUGCCAGCUUGACUUUUGAAUGGGGAAAGUUGAUAAGGUGAAAUGCAAGGCUGAUUCCCAGCGUCACAGAGUGACUCCAUAUCCUUUGCCAUCUU